GUUAGGAAUAUUGGACAAUGGGCGCAAGCCUGAUCCAGCCAUGCCGCGUGAACGAUGAAGGCCUUCGGGUUGUAAAGUUCUUUAGCCGAUGAUUAUAAUGACUGUAGUCGGAAAAUAAGCCCCGGCUAACUUCGUGCCAGCAGCCGCGGUAAUACGAAGGGGGCGAGCGUUAUUCGGAAUCACUGGGCGUAAAGCGUGCGUAGGCGGUCUCGUAAGUUAGGAGUGAAAGCCCAGGGCUCAACCUUGGAAUUGCUCUUAAAACUGCAAGGCUCGAAUCUCGGAGAGGAUAGCGGAAUUUCCAGUGUAGCAGUGAAAUGCGUAGAUAUUGGAAGGAACACCAGUGGCGUAAGCGGCUAUCUGGACGAGUAUUGACGCUGAGGCACGAAAGCGUGGGGAUCAAACAGGAUUAGAAACCCGAGUGUCC
rnacentral:rRNA from 1 species